CAGGAUGAACGCUAGCUACAGGCUUAACACAUGCAAGUCGAGGGGCAGCGAGAAGGAAGCUUGCUUCUUGUCGGCGACCGGCGCACGGGUGAGUAACGCGUAUCCAACCUUCCCCUAGUAGGGCAUAGCCCGUAGAAAUGCGGAUUAAUACCCUAUGUUAUUCGUCGAGGACAUCUGAAGUGAAUCAAAGGUUUACCGCUAAGGGAUGGGGAUGCGUCUGAUUAGGCAGCAGGCGGGGUAACGGCCCACCUGGCCUACGAUCAGUAGGGGUUCUGAGAGGAAGGUCCCCCACAUUGGAACUGAGACACGGUCCAAACUCCUACGGGAGGCAGCAGUGAGGAAUAUUGGUCAAUGGGCGAGAGCCUGAACCAGCCAAGUAGCGUGCAAGGAUGACGGCCCUAUGGGUUGUAAACUGCUUUUAUCAGGGGAUAAAGUGUGGGACGCGUCCCUCAUUGCAGGUACCUGAUGAAUAAGGACCGGCUAAUUCCGUGCCAGCCGCGGC
rnacentral:rRNA from 1 species